rnacentral:antisense_RNA from 1 species
UGUUAAUUCUUCCGCAAGUUGGGUUAACAAAUAGAGGCCCUGACUGUUACAGCAGUUGGGGCUUCAGCU